CCCUUAGAUGUUCUGGGCCGCACGCGCGCUACACUGAUCGGUGCAACAAGCAUCCGUCCUUGGCCGACAGGCCCGGGCAAUCUUUGAACGCCGGUCGUGAUGGGGAUAGACCUUUGCAAUUUUUGGUCUUCAACGAGGAAUUCCUGGUAAACGCAAGUCAUCAACUUGCAUUGAUUACGUCCCUGCCCUUUGUACACACCGCCCGUCGCACCUACCGAUUGAAUGGUCCGGUGAAAUCUCGGGACGGCGGCUUGGUCGCUUGCGUCCGACUGCUGAAACUUGAUUAAACCAUAUCAUUUAGAGGAAGGUGAANUCGUAACA
rnacentral:rRNA from 1 species